AUACAUUAGCAUGGGAUAAUGGAAUAGGACCCUGUCCUCCUAUUUUCAGUUGGUUUUGGCAGCGCGAGGACUAGGGUAAUGAUUAAUAGGGAUAGUUGGGGG
rnacentral:rRNA from 1 species